rnacentral:rRNA from 1 species
GGGGGAUAUUGCACAAUGGGGGAAACCCUGAUGCAGCGACGCCGCGUGGAGGAAGAAGGUUUUCGGAUUGUAAACUCCUGUCGUUAGGGACGAUAAUGACGGUACCUAACAAGAAAGCACCGGCUAACUACGUGCCAGCAGCCGCGGUAAUACGUAGGGAGCAAGCGUUGUCCGGAUUUACUGGGUGUAAAGGGUGCGUAGGCGGCUUUGCAAGUCAGAUGUGAAAUCUAUGGGCUCAACCCAUAAACUGCAUUUGAAACUGUAGAGCUUGAGUGAAGUAGAGGCAGGCGGAAUUCCCCGUGUAGCGGUGAAAUGCGUAGAGAUGGGGAGGAACACCAGUGGCGAAGGCGGCCUGCUGGGCUUUAACUGACGCUGAGGCACGAAAGCGUGGGUAGCAAACAGGAUUAGAUACCCUGGUAGUCCACGCUGUAAACGAUGAUUACUAGGUGUGGGGGGUCUGACCCCUUCCGUGCCGGAGUUAACACAAUAAGUAAUCCACCUGGGGAGUACGGCCGCAAGGUUGAAACUCAAAGGAAUUGACGGGGGCCCGCACAAGCAGUGGAGUAUGUGGUUUAAUUCGAAGCAACGCGAAGAACCUUACCAGGUCUUGACAUCCAACUAACGAAGUAGAGAUACAUUAGGUGCCCUUCGGGGAAAGUUGAGACAGGUGGUGCAUGGUUGUCGUCAGCUCGUGUCGUGAGAUGUUGGGUUAAGUCCCGCAACGAGCGCAACCCUUGCUAUUAGUUGCUACGCAAGAGCACUCUAAUAGGACUGCCGUUGACAAAACGGAGGAAGGUGGGGACGACGUCAAAUCAUCAUGCCCCUUAUGACCUGGGCUACACACGUACUACAAUGGAUGUUAACAGAGGGAAGCAAGACAGCGAUGUGGAGCAAACCCCUAAAAACAUUCUCAGUUCAGAUUGCAGGCUGCAACCCGCCUGCAUGAAGAUGGAAUUGCUAGUAAUCGCGGAUCAGCAUGCCGCGGUGAAUACGUUCCCG